rnacentral:rRNA from 1 species
AGUGAACGCUGGCGGUAGGCCUAACACAUGCAAGUCGAACGGCAGCACAGUAAGAGCUUGCUCUUACGGGUGGCGAGUGGCGGACGGGUGAGGAAUACAUCGGAAUCUACUUUUUCGUGGGGGAUAACGUAGGGAAACUUACGCUAAUACCGCAUACGACCUACGGGUGAAAGCAGGGGAUCUUCGGACCUUGCGCGAUUGAAUGAGCCGAUGUCGGAUUAGCUAGUUGGUGGGGUAAAGGCCCACCAAGGCGACGAUCCGUAGCUGGUCUGAGAGGAUGAUCAGCCACACUGGAACUGAGACACGGUCCGGACUCCGACGGGAGGCAGCAGUGGGGAAUAUUGGACAAUGGGCGCAAGCCUGAUCCAGCCAUACCGCGUGGGUGAAGAAGGCCUUCGGGUUGUAAAGCCCUUUUGUUGGGAAAGAAAAGCAGCAGGUUAAUACCCCGCUGUUCUGACGGUACCCAAAGAAUAAGCACCGGCUAACUUCGUG